rnacentral:rRNA from 1 species
GAUGAACGCUGGCGGUCUGCUUAACACAUGCAAGUCGAACGGAAUCCUUAGGGAUUUAGUGGCGGACGGGUGAGUAACACGUAAGAACCUGCCUCUAGGACGGGGACAACAGUUGGAAACGACUGCUAAACCCGGAUGAGCCGAAAGGUAAAAGAUUAAUCGCCUAGAGAGGGGCUUGCGUCUGAUUAGCUAGUUGGUGAGGUAAGAGCCCACCAAGGCGACGAUCAGUAGCUGGUCUGAGAGGAUGAUCAGCCACACUGGGACUGAGACACGGCCCAGACUCCUACGGGAGGCAGCAGUGGGGAAUUUUCCGCAAUGGGCGAAAGCCUGACGGAGCAAGACCGCGUGGGGGAGGAAGGUUCUUGGAUUGUCAACCCCUUUUCUCAGGGAAGAACACAAUGACGGUACCUGAGGAAAAAGCAUCGGCUAACUCCGUGCCAGCAGCCGCGGUAAUACGGGGGAUGCAAGCGUUAUCCGGAAUGAUUGGGCGUAAAGAGUCCGUAGGUAGUCAUCCAAGUCUGCUGUUAAAGAGCGAGGCUUAACCUCGUAAAGGCAGUGGAAACUGGAAGACUAGAGUGUAGUAGGGGCAGAGGGAAUUCCUGGUGUAGCGGUGAAAUGCGUAGAGAUCAGGAAGAACACCGGUGGCGAAGGCGCUCUGCUGGGCUAUAACUGACACUGAGGGACGAAAGCUAGGGGAGCGAAUGGGAUUAGAUACCCCAGUAGUCCUAGCGGUAAACGAUGGAAACUAGGUGUGGCCUGUAUCGACCCGGGCCGUGCCGAAGCAAACGCGUUAAGUUUCCCGCCUGGGGAGUACGCACGCAAGUGUGAAACUCAAAGGAAUUGACGGGGGCCCGCACAAGCGGUGGAGUAUGUGGUUUAAUUCGAUGCAACGCGAAGAACCUUACCAGGACUUGACAUCUCUGGAAUCUCCUUGAAAGGGGAGAGUGCCGUAAGGAACCAGAAGACAGGUGCUGCAUGGCUGUCGUCAGCUCGUGUCGUGAGAUGUUGGGUUAAGUCCCGCAACGAGCGCAACCCUCGUCGUUAGUUGCCAUCAUUAAGUUGGGAACUCUAGCGAGACUGCCGGUGACAAACCGGAGGAAGGUGAGGAUGACGUCAAGUCAGCAUGGCCCUUACGUCCUGGGCGACACACGUACUACAAUGCGAGGGACACAGAGCAGCCAACCCGCGAGGGAGAGCGAAUCUCACAAACCCUGGCACAGUUCAGAUUGCAGGCUGCAACUCGCCUGCAUGAAGGAGGAAUCGCUAGUAAUCGCAGGUCAGCAUACUGCGGUGAAUCCGUUCCCGGGCCUUGUACACACCGCCCGUCACACCAUGGAAGUGAGCCACGCCCGAAGUCAUUACUCUAACCCUUUCGGGGGAGGAGGGUGCCGAAGGCGGGGUUGAUGACUGGGGUG